UCUCAGCAAGGCAAUUUUACUUCUAUAGAAGGGUGCAUCUCACAGAUGGAGCAAUGGCAAGAGCACACCUGAACAAGGGAAGGGAAGGGGUUUUUAUCCCUAAGGCAGGUAGCCCCUACAGCUGUGUCGUUCCCCUAUUGGCUAGGGUUGAACCACACCGUCUGAGCUAAUUGUUACUGGCUAUUUUAAAGAGAGCAGGGGUAAGAGCCGGAUUGGCAGGGUAAGUAGUUUGGCAGGAAGGACAGUCACAGAACAGGUGACUCAGGAUGACUCAGGUCAGAGCAGGUGACCAGUGGUGACUCAGUUCGGAGCAGGUGAUAGAAGCUAGGAGGGUGUUGUUUACUGAAACUAGGGGCAAGGAGACGAAGAGAACAUGAAAGUUAAACUUUAAAAUGAAGAACAAAGCUGAACAUACUGAUGCAUUGGUUCUUUGGAGAGGAUCUCAGAACUCAUUGUACUUAAUUUACAGGCUAAAACCUUAGAAGAGGAAUUUAUUAUAUCCUACACAAGACUCCAGGGAAGCACGUGGCCUUGGACUGAAGGCUGGCAUCUGGAAGCUGUCAGCCACCAGCACCUUCUGCAGCAGGUACCUGCUCUCUAAGAGGGAGGCCUGGGUGGUGCACCUCCAGAGCUGCCCGGGCUGGGCCUCAAGGAAGAAAAAGAUUUUCAUUUGUCAAAGGCGGAAGGGAGAGGUGGAGGGAACAGCACAGCAGCGGCCCAGGGGCAGGGAAGCACAGGACCAUUAGGGAGACACGAGAAAGCCCAUUUGUCUAGAACAGAGGAUUCAAGCAGUGCACCAAGGAAAAUGAGGGCCAGGCCAAUGUGCUGGAGUGGCUUUGUUCUUGGCUGAGGGUUUUGGGUAGUGCCAAAGCGUAAGGUAAGCCCUGCUUUCCAGAAGAAUCUAGCAGAGUGUGGAGCCCAGAUGGGACUGGAAAGCCUGGGAGGGGUCAGGUGGCCACAGGGACGGGCCACAGCCAGUGGUGCAGGCAAGAAGACAAUGGCCAUCCAUGGUGGCUCACACCUGCAAUCCCAGCCCAUUGGGAGGUCGAGGCAGGUGGAUCACCUGAGGUCAGGAGUUCGAGACCAGCCUGGUCAACAUGGUGAAACCCUGUCUCUAAUAAAAUUAUAAAAAUUAGCUGGGCAUGGUGGUGGGUGCCUGUAAUCUCAGCUACUCAGGAGGCUGGGUCAGGAGAAUCGCUUGAACCCAGGAGGCGGAGGUUACAGUGAGCUGAGAUAGCACCAUUGCAUUCCAGCCUGGACGACAAAAGUAAGACUCUGUCUCAAAAAAAAAAAAAAUUAGCCAGGCGUGGUGGUGGGUGCCUGUCGUCCUCGGGAGGCUGAGGCAUGAGAAUCACUCUGGGGGGCAGAGGUUGCAAUGAACCAAGAUCACACCACUGCACUCCAGCCUGGGUGACAGAGCAAGACUCUGUCUAAAAAAAAAAAAAAAGACAGAAGGAUGUCAGCAUCUGAUGCUGCCUGUCACCUUGACCCUGAGGAUGCCAGUCACAGCUCCAUUAACUGGGACCUAGGAAAAUGAGUCAUCCUUGGUCAUGCACAUUUCAAAUGGUGGCUGAAUAUGGAAGCCAGACUUGGGAUCUGUUGUCUCCUCCAACAUGGUGGAAGAUGCCUGAAAAGUAGGGGCUGGAUCCCAUCCCCUGCCUCACUGGGAAGGUGAGGUGGUGGGGUGGGGUGGGGCCUCAGGCUUGGGGUCAUGGGACAAAGCCCAGGCUGAAUGCCGCCCUUCCAUCUCCCUCCUCCUGAGACAGGGGCAGCAGGGCACACUAGUGUCCAGGAGCAGCUUAUGAGGCCCCUUCACCCUCCACCCUCCAAAACUGGCAGAACCCACCUUCUUGGUGUGACCCCAGAGCUCUGAGCACAGCCCGUUCCUUCCGCCUGCCGGCCCCCCACCCAGGCCCACCCCAACCUUAUCCUCCACUGCUUCUCAGAGGAGUCUGGCCAACACAAAUCCUCUUGUUUGUUUGUCUGUCUGUCUGCUGCUCCUAGUCUCUGCCUCUCCCAGUCUCUCAGCUUCCGUUUCUUUCUUAAACUUUCUCUCAGUCUCUGAGGUCUCGAAAUCACGAGGCUUCGACCCCUGUGGACCAGAUGCCCAGCUAGUGGCCUUUCUCCAGCCCCUCAGAUGGCACAGAACUACAAACCCCAGCAUGCACUCUGGCCUGAAGUGCCUGGAGAGUGCUGGUGUACCCCACCUGCAUUCUGGGAACUGUAGUUUCCCUAGUCCCCCAUGCUCCCACCAGGGCAUCAAGCUCUUCCCUGGCCGGCUGACCCUGCCUCAGCCCUAGUCUCUCUGCUGACCUGCGGCCCCGGGAAGCAUGCGUCACUGAAUGACAGGGUGGGGGUGGAGGCACUGGAAGGCAGCUUCCUGCUCUUUUGUGUCCCCCACUUGAGUCAUGGGGGUGUGGGGGUUCCAGGAAAUUGGGGCUGGGAGGGGAAGGGAUACCCUAAUGUCAGACUCAAGGACAAAAAGUCACUACAUCCUUGCUGGGCCUCUAUCCCCAAGAACCCAAAAGGACUCAAGGGUGGGGAUCCAGGAGCUCUUGUAUGUAUGGGGGGAGGUGAAGGAGAGAACCUGCAUGACCCUAGAGGUCCCUGUGGUCACUGAGAGUGUGGGCUGCCAUCCCCUGCUACAGAAACGGUGCUCACCUUCUGCCCAACCCUCCAGGGAAAGGCACACAGGGGUGAGGCCGAAGGCCCUUCCGUCUGGUGCCACAUCACAGAAGGACCUUUAUGACCCCCUGGUGGCUCUACCCUGCCACUCCCCAAUGCCCCAGCCCCCACGCUGCAGCCCCAGGGCUCUGCUGGACACCUGGGCUCCCACUUAUCAGCCUCAGUCCUCACAGCGGAACCCAGGCGUCCGGCCCCCCACCCUUCAGGCCAGCGGGCGUGGAGCUGAGGCUUUAGAGCCUCCCAGCCGGGCUUGUUCCUGUCCCAUUGUGUAUGGGACAGGGGCGGGGCGAGGGCCAGCACUGGAGAGCCCCCUCCCACUGCCCCCUCCUCUCGGUCCCCUCCCUCUUCCUAAGGAAAAGGCCAGGGCUCUGCUGGAGCAGGCAGCAGAGUGGACGCACAGUAACAUGGGCAACUUGAAGAGCGUGGCCCAGGAGUCUGGGCCACCCUGCGGCCUGGGGCUGGGGCUGGGCCUUGGGCUGUGCGGCAAGCAGGGCCCAGCCACCCCGGCCCCUGAGCCCAGCCGGGCCCCAGCAUCCCUACUCCCGCCAGCGCCAGAACACAGCCCCCCGAGCUCCCCGCUAACCCAGCCCCCAGAGGGGCCCAAGUUCCCUCGUGUGAAGAACUGGGAGGUGGGGAGCAUCACCUAUGACACCCUCAGCGCCCAGGCGCAGCAGGAUGGGCCCUGCACCCCAAGACGCUGCCUGGGCUCCCUGGUAUUUCCACGGAAACUACAGGGCCGGCCCUCCCCCGGCCCCCCGGCCCCUGAGCAGCUGCUGAGUCAGGCCCGGGACUUCAUCAACCAGUACUACAGCUCCAUUAAGAGGAGCGGCUCCCAGGCCCACGAACAGCGGCUUCAAGAGGUGGAAGCCGAGGUGGCAGCCACAGGCACCUACCAGCUUAGGGAGAGCGAGCUGGUGUUCGGGGCCAAGCAGGCCUGGCGCAACGCUCCCCGCUGCGUGGGCCGGAUCCAGUGGGGGAAGCUGCAGGUGUUCGAUGCCCGGGACUGCAGGUCUGCACAGGAAAUGUUCACCUACAUCUGCAACCACAUCAAGUAUGCCACCAACCGGGGCAACCUUCGCUCGGCCAUCACAGUGUUCCCGCAGCGCUGCCCUGGCCGAGGAGACUUCCGAAUCUGGAACAGCCAGCUGGUGCGCUACGCGGGCUACCGGCAGCAGGACGGCUCUGUGCGGGGGGACCCAGCCAACGUGGAGAUCACCGAGCUCUGCAUUCAGCACGGCUGGACCCCAGGAAACGGUCGCUUCGACGUGCUGCCCCUGCUGCUGCAGGCCCCAGAUGAGCCCCCAGAACUCUUCCUUCUGCCCCCCGAGCUGGUCCUUGAGGUGCCCCUGGAGCACCCCACGCUGGAGUGGUUUGCAGCCCUGGGCCUGCGCUGGUACGCCCUCCCAGCAGUGUCCAACAUGCUGCUGGAAAUUGGGGGCCUGGAGUUCCCCGCAGCCCCCUUCAGUGGCUGGUACAUGAGCACUGAGAUCGGCACGAGGAACCUGUGUGACCCUCACCGCUACAACAUCCUGGAGGAUGUGGCUGUCUGCAUGGACCUGGAUACCCGGACAACCUCGUCCCUGUGGAAAGACAAGGCAGCAGUGGAAAUCAACGUGGCCGUGCUGCACAGUUACCAGCUGGCCAAAGUCACCAUCGUGGACCACCACGCCGCCACGGCCUCUUUCAUGAAGCACCUGGAGAAUGAGCAGAAGGCCAGGGGGGGCUGCCCUGCAGACUGGGCCUGGAUUGUGCCCCCCAUCUCGGGCAGCCUCACUCCUGUUUUCCAUCAGGAGAUGGUCAACUAUUUCCUGUCCCCGGCCUUCCGCUACCAGCCAGACCCCUGGAAGGGGAGUGCCGCCAAGGGCACCGGCAUCACCAGGAAGAAGACCUUUAAAGAAGUGGCCAACGCCGUGAAGAUCUCCGCCUCGCUCAUGGGCACGGUGAUGGCGAAGCGAGUGAAGGCGACAAUCCUGUAUGGCUCCGAGACCGGCCGGGCCCAGAGCUAUGCACAGCAGCUGGGGAGACUCUUCCGGAAGGCUUUUGAUCCCCGGGUCCUGUGUAUGGAUGAGUAUGACGUGGUGUCCCUCGAACACGAGACGCUGGUGCUGGUGGUAACCAGCACAUUUGGGAAUGGGGAUCCCCCGGAGAAUGGAGAGAGCUUUGCAGCUGCCCUGAUGGAGAUGUCCGGCCCCUACAACAGCUCCCCUCGGCCGGAACAGCACAAGAGUUAUAAGAUCCGCUUCAACAGCAUCUCCUGCUCAGACCCACUGGUGUCCUCUUGGCGGCGGAAGAGGAAGGAGUCCAGUAACACAGACAGUGCAGGGGCCCUGGGCACCCUCAGGUUCUGUGUGUUCGGGCUCGGCUCCCGGGCAUACCCCCACUUCUGCGCCUUUGCUCGUGCGGUGGACACACGGCUGGAGGAACUGGGCGGGGAGCGGCUGCUGCAGCUGGGCCAGGGCGACGAGCUGUGCGGCCAGGAGGAGGCCUUCCGAGGCUGGGCCCAGGCUGCCUUCCAGGCCGCCUGUGAGACCUUCUGUGUGGGAGAGGAUGCCAAGGCCGCCGCCCGAGACAUCUUCAGCCCCAAACGGAGCUGGAAGCGCCAGAGGUACCGGCUGAGCGCCCAGGCCGAGGGCCUGCAGUUGCUGCCAGGUCUGAUCCACGUGCACAGGCGGAAGAUGUUCCAGGCUACAAUCCGCUCAGUGGAAAACCUGCAAAGCAGCAAGUCCACGAGGGCCACCAUCCUGGUGCGCCUGGACACCGGAGGCCAGGAGGGGCUGCAGUACCAGCCGGGGGACCACAUAGGUGUCUGCCCGCCCAACCGGCCCGGCCUUGUGGAGGCGCUGCUGAGCCGCGUGGAGGACCCGCCGGCGCCCACUGAGCCCGUGGCAGUAGAGCAGCUGGAGAAGGGCAGCCCUGGUGGCCCUCCCCCCGGCUGGGUGCGGGACCCCCGGCUGCCCCCGUGCACGCUGCGCCAGGCUCUCACCUUCUUCCUGGACAUCACCUCCCCACCCAGCCCUCAGCUCUUGCGGCUGCUCAGCACCUUGGCAGAAGAGCCCAGGGAACAGCAGGAGCUGGAGGCCCUCAGCCAGGAUCCCCGACGCUACGAGGAGUGGAAGUGGUUCCGCUGCCCCACGCUGCUGGAGGUGCUGGAGCAGUUCCCGUCGGUGGCGCUGCCUGCCCCACUGCUCCUCACCCAGCUGCCUCUGCUCCAGCCCCGGUACUACUCAGUCAGCUCGGCACCCAGCACCCACCCAGGAGAGAUCCACCUCACUGUAGCUGUGCUGGCAUACAGGACUCAGGAUGGGCUGGGCCCCCUGCACUAUGGAGUCUGCUCCACGUGGCUAAGCCAGCUCAAGCCCGGAGACCCUGUGCCCUGCUUCAUCCGGGGGGCUCCCUCCUUCCGGCUGCCACCCGAUCCCAGCUUGCCCUGCAUCCUAGUGGGCCCAGGCACUGGCAUUGCCCCCUUCCGGGGAUUCUGGCAGGAGCGGCUGCAUGACAUUGAGAGCAAAGGGCUGUGCAGGGUCUCUGUGAAAGCAUUCUACACUCUCUUAGAGAUGAAACAGCCAAAGUAAUGGUGGCUUCAGCCCAAAACGCUGGGCUGCCAGGCUGGGCGACGGUGGCCUGUGGGGAGGCCCCACUAGCACUGUGCCCCGGAGAAGAGCCUUCCCAAGCGUGGGGUUGCUUGCAGGGCUGCAGCCCACUCCCAUGACUUUGGUGUUCGGCUGCCGAUGCUCCCAACUUGACCAUCUCUACCGCGACGAGGUGCAGAACGCCCAGCAGCGCGGGGUGUUUGGCCGAGUCCUCACCGCCUUCUCCCGGGAACCUGACAACCCCAAGACCUACGUGCAGGACAUCCUGAGGACGGAGCUGGCUGCGGAGGUGCACCGCGUGCUGUGCCUCGAGCGGGGCCACAUGUUUGUCUGCGGCGAUGUCACCAUGGCAACCAACGUCCUGCAGACCGUGCAGCGCAUCCUGGCGACGGAGGGCGACAUGGAGCUGGACGAGGCCGGCGACGUCAUCGGCGUGCUGCGGGAUCAGCAACGCUACCACGAAGACAUUUUCGGGCUCACGCUGCGCACCCAGGAGGUGACAAGCCGCAUACGCACCCAGAGCUUUUCCUUGCAGGAGCGUCAGUUGCGGGGCGCAGUGCCCUGGGCGUUCGACCCUCCCGGCUCAGACACCAACAGCCCCUGAGAGCCACCUGGCUUUCCCUUCCAGUUCCGGGAGAGCGGCUGCCCGACUUAGGUCCGCCCGACCAGGAUCAGGCCCGCUCCUCCCCUCUUGAGGUGGUGCCUUCUCACAUCUGUCCAGAGGCUGCAAGGAUUCAGCAUUAUUCCUCCAGGAAGGAGCAAAACGCCUCUUUUCCCUCUCUAGGCCUGUUGCCUCGGGCCUGGGUCCGCCCGAAUCUGGAAGGCCCCUCCCAGCAGCGGUACCCCAGGGCCUACUGCUACCCCCUUCCUGUUUCUUAGGCGAAUGUUAGAUUCCUCUUGCCUCUCUCAGGAGUAUCUUACCUGUAAAGUCUAAUCUCUAAAUCAAGUAUUUAUUAUAGAAGAUUUACCGUAAGGGACUGUGCCAGAUGUUAGGAGAACUACUAAAGUGCCUACCCCAGCUCAUGUGGAUUACAGUUUUUUUUUUUGUUUUUUUGUUUUUUGAAACGGAGUCUCCCUCUGCCACCCGGGCUGGAGUGCAGUGGCGUGAUCUCAGCUCACUGCAACCUCCACCCCACAAGUUCAAGUGAUUCUCCUGCCUCAGCCUCCCAAGUAGUUGGGAUUACAGGUGCCUGCCACCACGCCCGGCUAGGUUUUGUAUUUUUAGUAAAGACGGGGUUUCACCAUCUUGGCCAGGCUGGUCUUGAACUCCCGACCUCGUGAUCCACCCGCCUCAGCCUCCCAAAGUGCUGGGAUUACAGGUGUGAGCCACUGCACCCGGCGUGGAUUACAAUUAUAAAAUGACAAGAUUUCUGUUUUAA